rnacentral:rRNA from 1 species
UACGUAGGGUGCGAGCGUUAAUCGGAAUUACUGGGCGUAAAGCGUGCGCAGGCGGUCUGUUAAGACCGAUGUGAAAUCCCCGGGCUUAACCUGGGAACUGCAUUGGUGACUGGCAGGCUUUGAGUGUGGCAGAGGGAGGUAGAAUUCCACGUGUAGCAGUGAAAUGCGUAGAUAUCUGGAGGAACACCGGUGGCGAAGGCGGCAUCCUGGAUCAAUACUGACACUGAGGAGCGAAAGCCAGGGGAGCAAACGGG